AAUCUCUCUCGGUUUCGCUCUCACUGAGUUACUCUUUCAAACUCGUUCUCUGCUUGCGAUUGAACAGCAACAAUUCGGUUUCUCUCCCUGCGAAACAAAACCAGUGGCAACCUGUGUGGCUCUCAAUUCUCUUUCUCGGAGUAACAACAACAGUAACAAUUUCUCAUCAAAAAUUUCACGGUGGCUUAUGGAGGAACAAACCAGGAAGAAUAAGGUUCACAGCAAUAUCAUUGAGAGAGUAAGCGCGGAAUCAAUUUACCUGCGGCAAUGAGGUGUUUGCCGGAUUUUGUUGAGUGUUGCGGUUAUGCUUUGAUUUUGCUGAAUUUUUCUGCUGUUGCUUCGGAGUUGUUGAAGAUGAUGCGUGAAUGAUGUGUAAGCACAGGGCUGCAACCAGAGGCUCUUUGAUGAAGGUGAUGCCACAACACCUCUUU